AGUCACUGACAUUAGAUACCCCGGUAGUCCAGGGUGUAAACGCUGCAGACUUGGUGUUGGAAAUCCUUCGAGGGUAUUCAGUGCCGGAGAGAAGUUGUUAAGUCUGCUACUUGGGAGUACGUCCGCAAGGAUGAAACUUAAAGGAAUUGGCGGGGGAGCACCGCAACGGGAGGAGCGUGCGGUUUAAUUGGAUUCAACACCGUAAACUCACCAGGGAAGACUGUUACAUGAAGGCCGAGAUGAAGACUCUGCUAGAUUUUCAG
rnacentral:rRNA from 1 species